AAAUUGAAGAGUUUGAUCAUGGCUCAGAUUGAACGCUGGCGGCAGGCCUAACACAUGCAAGUCGAACGGUAACAGGAAGCGCUUGCUGCUUCGCUGACGAGUGGCGGACGGGUGAGUAAUGUCUGGGAAACUGCCUGAUGGAGGGGGAUAACUACUGGAAACGGUAGCUAAUACCGCAUAACGUCGCAAGACCAAAGAGGGGGACCUUCGGGCCUCUUGCCAUCGGAUGUGCCCAGAUGGGAUUAGCUUGUUGGUGGGGUAACG
rnacentral:rRNA from 2 species